GAUGAACGCUGGCGGCGUGCCUAAUACAUGCAAGUCGAGCGAAUGGAUUAAGAGCUUGCUCUUAUGAAGUUAGCGGCGGACGGGUGAGUAACACGUGGGUAACCUGCCCAUAAGACUGGGAUAACUCCGGGAAACCGGGGCUAAUACCGGAUAACAUUUUGAACCGCAUGGUUCGAAAUUGAAAGGCGGCUUCGGCUGUCACUUAUGGAUGGACCCGCGUCGCAUUAGCUAGUUGGUGAGGUAACGGCUCACCAAGGCAACGAUGUGUAGCCGACCUGGGAGGGUGGUCGGCCACACUGGGACUGAGACACGGCCCAGACUCCUACGGGAGGCAGCAGUAGGGAAUCUUCCGCAAUGGACGAAAGUCUGACGGAGCAACGCCGCGUGAAUGAUGAAGGCUUUCGGGUCGUAAAACUCUGUUGUUAGGGAAGAACAAGUGCUAGUUGAAUAAGCUGGCACCUUGACGGUACCUAACCAGAAAGCCACGGCUAACUACGUGCCAGCCGCCGCCGUAA
rnacentral:rRNA from 1 species